rnacentral:rRNA from 1 species
UACGGAGGGUGCAAGCGUUAUCCGGAUUCACUGGGUUUAAAGGGUGCGUAGGUGGGCAAGUAAGUCAGUGGUGAAAUCUCCGGGCUUAACCCGGAAACUGCCAUUGAUACUAUUUGUCUUGAAUACUGUGGAGGUCAGCGGAAUAUGUCAUGUAGCGGUGAAAUGCUUAGAUAUGACAUAGAACACCAAUUGCGAAGGCAGCUCACUACGCGGUCAUUGACGCUGAGGCACGAAAGCGUGGGGAGCAAACAGG